GACGAACGCUGGCGGCGUGCUUAACACAUGCAAGUCGAACGAUGAAACCUAGCUUGCUAGGUCGAUUAGUGGCGAACGGGUGAGUAACACGUGACUAACCUGCCCCUUUCUCUGGGAUAACGCUCCGAAAGGAGUGCUAAUACCGGAUACUCACACCGAGGCACAUGCCUUGGUGUGGAAAGUUUUUCGGAAAGGGAUGGAGUCGCGGCCUAUCAGCUUGUUGGCGAGGUAACGGCUCACCAAGGCGGCGACGGGUAGCCGGCCUGAGAGGGCGACCGGCCACACUGGGACUGCGACACGGCCCAGACUCCUGCGGGAGGCAGCAGUGGGGAAUAUUGCACAAUGGGCGCAAGCCUGAUGCAGCGACGCCGCGUGAGGGAUGAAGGUCUUCGGAUUGUAAACCUCUUUCAGUAGGGACGAAGCGAAAGUGACGGUACCUAAAGAAGAAGCACCGGCUAACUACGUGCCAGCAGCCGCAGUAA
rnacentral:rRNA from 1 species